GACGAACGCUGGCGGCGUGCUUAACACAUGCAAGUCGAACGGAAAGGCCCUGCUUUUGUGGGGUGCUCGAGUGGCGAACGGGUGAGUAACACGUGAGUAACCUGCCCUUGACUUUGGGAUAACUUCAGGAAACUGGGGCUAAUACCGGAUAGGAGCUCCUGCUGCAUGGUGGGGGUUGGAAAGUUUCGGCGGUUGGGGAUGGACUGGAGGCUUAUCCGCUUGUUGGUGGGGUAGUGGCUUACCAAGGCUUUGACGGGUAGCCGGCCUGGGAGGGUGACCGGCCACAUGGGGACUGCGGUACGGCCCAGACUCCUACGGGACGCAGCAGUGGGGAAUAUUGCAGAAUGGGCGGAAGCCUGAUGCAGCAACGCCGGGUGCGGGAUGACGGCCUUCGGGUUGUAAACCACUUUCGCCUGUGACGAAGCGUGAGUGACGGUAAUGGGUAAAGAAGCACCGGCUAACUACGUG
rnacentral:rRNA from 1 species